rnacentral:rRNA from 1 species
CAACCUACCUAUCANANGGGAAUAACCCGGCGAAAGUCGGACUAAUACCGCAUAAAACAGGGGCACCGCAUGGUGAUAUUUGUUAAAGAAAUUCGCUGAUAGAUGGGCAUGCGUUCCAUUAGGUAGUUGGUGAGGUAACGGCUCACCAAGCCGACGAUGGAUAGGGGAACUGAGAGGUUGGUCCCCCACACUGGUACUGAGACACGGACCAGACUCCUACGGGAGGCAGCAGUGAGGAAUAUUAGUCAANNNGCGAGAGCCUGAACCAGCCAAGUCGCGUGAAGGAAGAAGGAUCUAUGGUUCGUAAACUUCUUUUGCAGGGGAAUAAAGUGCAGGACGUGUCCUGUUUUGUAUGUACCCUGAGAAUAAGGAUCGGCUAACUCCGUGCCAGCAGCCGCGGUAAUACGGAGGAUCCGAGCGUUAUCCGGAUUUAUUGGGUUUAAAGGGUGCGUAGGUGGUUUGAUAAGUCAGCGGUGAAAGUUUGCAGCUUAACUGUAAAAAUGCCGUUGAAACUGUCGGACUUGAGUGUAAAUGAGGUAGGCGGAAUGCGUGGUGUAGCGGUGAAAUGCAUAGAUAUCACGAAGAACUCCGAUUG